rnacentral:lncRNA from 1 species
CCAGCUUCUAUUUUUUAUGUGAAAGAAGAGGAAAGGUUAUCUCCUAAAUAUGAUUUUUUGAGAAUAAAGAGGAAAACUUGAAGAGAAUGAAAAAGGUUAACAGCAUUUCCAUAGGUAGGAAAUGAAUUUUAAAAGUAAGAACAAGUAGACUAGUCAGGUCAAAAAAUACAUGAAUUUGUCACACUGUCAUCAACACAGUGAUGAGAUAUUUUUCUGCCCACUCAGUUACAAAGGAAACAGAUCAUGAAGUGACACAGGGUUGAGGAUGAACAGCGCAAGUGUGGGAGGAGGAUGAAGGAAUGUGAAGGGACACUGAUGUGAGAGAUGUUAAAAGCCAUUGACCACGCAGUCCUGCACAGGAACCCAAAAGAAACAGUUCUUGCCUUUGCAAGCACACCAAUAGCACUGGAGUGGAAGCCGGUUGAAGAGAUUGGUAGAAGGGAGCCAAGGAAAGCUCACCAGCGACACGAAGAGGCCACUGGUAUGUACUGUAUCUCAAUUUCACUGCCAAGGACACUCCUUAGUGGAUUAAGCACUAAAUUUAGA